rnacentral:ncRNA from 1 species
GGAGGUGGGGGUGCAAAGACAGCCAGGAGGUUUGCCUAGAAGCAGCCACCCUUUAAAGAGUGCGUAAUAGCUCACUGAUCGAGCGCCCUUGCGCUGAAGAUGAACGGGGCUAAGCGAUCUGCCGAAGCUGUGGGAUGUCAAAAUGCAUCGGUAGGGGAGCGUUCCGCCUUAGAGGGAAGCAACCGCGAAAGCGGGGGUCGACGAAGCGGAAGCGAGAAUGUCG